rnacentral:rRNA from 1 species
GACGAACGCUGGCGGCGUGCUUAACACAUGCAAGUCGAACGGAACGGCCCUGCUUUUGGGGGGUCCUGGGCGUGCCACCGGGUAAGUAACCCGUGAGUACCCUGUCAUUGCCUUUGGGGUAACUUCAGGACACUGGAGCUAAUACCACCUAGGAUCUCUUGCUUCAUGGUGGGCGUGGGAAAGUUUCGGCGGUUGGGGAUGGAAUAGCGGCUUAUCAGGUUGUUGGUGGGGUAGUGGCUUACCAAGGCUUUGCAGGGUAGCAGGCCUGAGAGGGCGAGAGGCCACAUUGGGACUGAGAUGCGGCCCAGACUCCUACGGGAGGCAGCAGUGGGGAAGAGUGUACAAGGGGAGGAAGCCAGAUGUAGCAACGCCGCGUGCGGGAUGACGUGCAGCGGGUUGGAAAGCGAUGCUGUCUGUGACGAAGUGUGAGUGACGGUAAUGGGUAAAUAAGCACCGGCUAACUACGUG